rnacentral:rRNA from 1 species
UCGUUGGGUAGGGGAGCGUUCUGUAAGCCUGCGAAGGUGGCCUGUGAGGGUUGCUGGAGGUAUCAGAAGUGCGAAUGCUGACAUAAGUAACGAUAAAGCGGGUGAAAAGCCCGCUCGCCGGAAGACCAAGGGUUCCUGUCCAACGUUAAUCGGGGCAGGGUGAGUCGACCCCUAAGGCGAGGCCGAAAGGCGUAGUCGAUGGGAAACGGGUUAAUAUUCCCGUACUUGGUGUUACUGCGAAGGGGGGACGGAGAAGGCUAUGUUGGCCGGGCGACGGUUGUCCCGGUUUAAGCGUGUAGGUGUGUGUUCCAGGUAAAUCCGGUUCACUUUAACACUGAGGCGUGAUGACGAGGCACUACGGUGCUGAAGCAACAAAUGCCCUGCUUCCAGGAAAAGCCUCUAAGCAUCAGGUAACAUCAAAUCGUACCCCAAACCGACACAGGUGGUCAGGUAGAGAAUACCAAGGCGCUUGAGAGAACUCGGGUGAAGGAACUAGGCAAAAUGGUGCCGUAACUUCGGGAGAAGGCACGCUGACACGUAGGUGAAGUGAUUUACUCACGGAGCUGAAGUCAGUCGAAGAUACCAGCUGGCUGCAACUGUUUAUUAAAAACACAGCACUGUGCAAACACGAAAGUGGACGUAUACGGUGUGACGCCUGCCCGGUGCCGGAAGGUUAAUUGAUGGGGUCAGCGCAAGCGAAGCUCCUGAUCGAAGCCCCGGUAAACGGCGGCCGUAACUAUAACGGUCCUAAGGUAGCGAAAUUCCUUGUCGGGUAAGUUCCGACCUGCACGAAUGGCGUAAUGAUGGCCAGGCUGUCUCCACCCGAGACUCAGUGAAAUUGAACUCGCUGUGAAGAUGCAGUGUACCCGCGGCAAGACGGAAAGACCCCGUGAACCUUUACUAUAGCUUGACACUGAACAUUGAGCCUUGAUGUGUAGGAUAGGUGGGAGGCUUUGAAGUGUGGACGCCAGUCUGCAUGGAGCCGACCUUGAAAUACCACCCUUUAAUGUUUGAUGUUCUAACGUGGACCCGUGAUCCGGGUUGCGGACAGUGUCUGGUGGGUAGUUUGACUGGGGCGGUCUCCUCCUAAAGAGUAACGGAGGAGCACGAAGGUUGGCUAAUCCUGGUCGGACAUCAGGAGGUUAGUGCAAUGGCAUAAGCCAGCUUGACUGCGAGCGUGACGGCGCGAGCAGGUGCGAAAGCAGGUCAUAGUGAUCCGGUGGUUCUGAAUGGAAGGGCCAUCGCUCAACGGAUAAAAGGUACUCCGGGGAUAACAGGCUGAUACCGCCCAAGAGUUCAUAUCGACGGCGGUGUUUGGCACCUCGAUGUCGGCUCAUCACAUCCUGGGGCUGAAGUAGGUCCCAAGGGUAUGGCUGUUCGCCAUUUAAAGUGGUACGCGAGCUGGGUUUAGAACGUCGUGAGACAGUUCGGUCCCUAUCUGCCGUGGGCGCUGGAGAACUGAGGGGGGCUGCUCCUAGUACGAGAGGACCGGAGUGGACGCAUCACUGGUGUUCGGGUUGUCAUGCCAAUGGCACUGCCCGGUAGCUAAAUGCGGAAGAGAUAAGUGCUGAAAGCAUCUAAGCACGAAACUUGCCCCGAGAUGAGUUCU